GACGAACCGUGCGAACGUUGUUCGGAAUCACUGGGCUUAAAGGGCGCGUAGGCGGGCUAUCAAGUCUGGGGUGAAAUCCCGCGGCUCAGCCGUGGAACUGCCUUAGAUACUGACGGCCUUGAGGAAGGUAGGGGCAUGCGGAACUGUAGGUGGAGCGGUGAAAUGCGUUGAUAUCUACAGGAACUCCGGUGGCGAAAGCGGCGUGCUGGACCUUUUCUGACGCUGAGGCGCGAAAGCUAGGGGAGCAAACGGG
rnacentral:rRNA from 1 species